rnacentral:misc_RNA from 1 species
AACUUUUGGCAACGGGUCUCUUGGUUCUGGCAUCGAUGAAGAACGCAGCGAAAUGCGAUAAGUAAUGUGAAUUGCAGAAUGCAGUGAAUCAUCGAAUCUUUGAACGCACAUUGCGCUCCCUGGUAUUCCGGGGAGCAUGCCUGUCCGAGCGUCAUUACAACCCUCAAGCUCUGCUUGGUGUUGGGUCCCACCGCCCCGGCGGGCCCUAACGUCAGUGGCGGUGCCGUCCGGCUCCGAGCGUAGUAAUUCUUCUCGCUCGGGAGGCCCGGCCGCGUGCCCGCCAGCAACCCCCAAAUUUUUUCAGGUUGACCUCGGAUCAGGUAGGGAUACCCGCUGAACUUAAGCAUAUCAAUAAGCGGAGGCU